AAACGACUCUCGGCAACGGAUAUCUCGGCUCUCGCAUCGAUGAAGAACGUAGCGAAAUGCGAUACUUGGUGUGAAUUGCAGAAUCCCGUGAACCAUCGAGUCUUUGAACGCAAGUUGCGCCCGAAGCCUUCGGGCCAAGGGCACGUCUGCCUGGGUGUCACGC
rnacentral:rRNA from 1 species